rnacentral:rRNA from 1 species
CGCGUAGGCGGUUUGUUAAGUCAGAUGUGAAAGCCCCGGGCUCAACCUGGGAAUUGCAUUUGAAACUGGCAAGCUAGAGUGCAGUAGAGGGAGGUGGAAUUUCCGGUGUAGCGGUGAAAUGCGUAGAGAUCGGAAGGAACACCAGUGGCGAAGGCGGCCUCCUGGACUGACACUGACGCUGAGGUGCGAAAGCGUGGGGAGCAAACA